CCCUUAGAUGUUCUGGGCCGCACACGCGCUACACUGAAGGAGGCAGCGUGUACUCCUGGAUCGAAAGAUUUGGGUAACCCGCGAAUCUCCUUCGUGCUAGGGAUUGAGGUUUGCAAUUAUCCUUCAUGAACGAGGAAUUCCCAGUAAGUGCAAGUCAUAAGCUUGCGCUGACUACGUCCCUGCCCUUUGUACACACCGCCCGUCGCUACUACCGAUUGAAUGAUUUAGUGAGGACUUCGGACUGGGACCGAUGCGGCUUUCGGGCUGCGUCGGUAUUCUAGAAAGAUGUCCAAACUGUAUCAUUUAGAGGAAGUAAAANUCGUANCA
rnacentral:rRNA from 1 species